rnacentral:rRNA from 1 species
AUGCCCCUCUCGGAUAAGCGUCUGAAAUUGACUGAUUUCCAAGAGCUUCUGGAUAAGCUCAUCAAGAAAAUUGCUGCAUGGAAGGCACGUUGGAUCUCCUCCUCUGGGCGGUUGGUUCUUGUUCGCUUCGUAUCAUCUGCCAUGCCCAUCUUUUUGCUUCUUGCCGUGGAGCAGCCAAAGUGGAUUAUCAAGCAGAUUGACAAACUACGACGUGCUUUCCUUUGGGCAGGAGCUGAUGCUAUCACUGGUGGUAAGUGCUUGGUGCGAUGGUCGCACGUUUGCUCGCCGGUGCAGUUUGGUGGGCUCGGUAUCCCUGAUCUUCACAAGCAAGGUCUUGCUCUAAAAGUAAGGUGGUUGUGGCUCAAUCAUAGAGAAACUGACAAGCCAUGGCAUGAUCUUCCGAUCCCCGUCGAUAAGGAAGUCAAGGCUCUGUUUAUUGCUAGCACUUGUUUCAUCCUGGGGGAUGGCAAAUCGGUUUCCUUUUGGCACGACCACUGGUUGAAUGGG